rnacentral:rRNA from 1 species
CCUACGGGAGGCAGCAGUGGGGAAUAUUGGACAAUGGGCGCAAGCCUGAUCCAGCAAUGCCGCGUGAGUGAUGAAGGCCUUAGGGUCGUAAAGCUCUUUUACCAGGGAUGAUAAUGACAGUACCUGGAGAAUAAGCUCCGGCUAACUCCGUGCCAGCAGCCGCGGUAAUACGGAGGGAGCUAGCGUUGUUCGGAAUUACUGGGCGUAAAGCGUACGUAGGCGGUUAUUCAAGUCAGAGGUGAAAGCCCGGGGCUCAACCCCGGAACGGCCUUUGAAACUAGGUAGCUAGAAUCUUGGAGAGGUCAGUGGAAUUCCGAGUGUAGAGGUGAAAUUCGUAGAUAUUCGGAAGAACACCAGUGGCGAAGGCGACUGACUGGACAAGUAUUGACGCUGAGGUACGAAAGCGUGGGGAGCAAACAGGAUUAGAUACCCUGGUAGUCCACGCCGUAAACGAUANAUAACUAGCUGUCGGCGACUUGUGUCGUGGGUGGCGGCAGCUAACGACAUUAAGUUAUACCGUCCGUCGGGUAGGUACGGUCGCGAAGAAUUAAAACGUUAAAAGGUAAAGUUAGACGGCGUGAGACGUGCCGACGGACGACGACGAGGGAGUAGG